UACAGAGGGUGCGAGCGUUAAUCGGAGUUACUGGGCGUAAAGGGCGCGUAGGCGGUUCGUACAGUCAGACGUGAAAUUCCUGGGCUCAACCUGGGGGCUGCGUUUGAUACGUGCGGACUUGAGUGCGGAAGAGGGUCGUGGAAUUCCCAGUGUAGAGGUGAAAUUCGUAGAUAUUGGGAAGAACACCGGUGGCGAAGGCGGCGACCUGGUCCGAUACUGACGCUGAGGCGCGAAAGCGUGGGGAGCAAACAGG
rnacentral:rRNA from 1 species